rnacentral:misc_RNA from 1 species
AAAGAAUACAGGACAGGAGAGAGUGAUAAUUCAAUUGCAUCAGCCUAGUCAUUGUCAUCUAUGAGAACAAAAUAAAAUUUCCAAUACAAAGAUAAUGCAUUACACGGAAAUUUGAACAAUCAAUGCUGUAAAGGAACCUGUAAUGGCAAGUUUGUAUAAUAAAACAGGUCUACCAGCUAGUUGAUGAUAUUGACAACAACUCUGUGCUAGAGUCACUAGUGAUAUGUAAAUAUUUUCUAACAAAAUCAAAUGGAAGCCACAAAAUGGAGUAGCAUACGAUUAUUUGGUGUCUGCUGUUUGAAUAUACAAAAAAAUUGGUUCAGUAAAACAAAAGAGAAGACAGAUACAUUUACAGAUGAAAAAGUAAAAAUGGUGCAUGGUUGUCAAGAUAAUGAUAUUGAUGACUUUGAGCUGGUUGUCACACGUUACAGACCAGAGGGUCUUGACACACUUGUUAAAAACACUAAAUUCUCCAGAAAAGAACUCCAAAUCAUGUACAGAGGUUUCAAGCAGGAGUGUCCCACUGGGAUUGUGAAUGAAGAUACCUUCAGAGAAAUUUAUGCUCAAUUUUUCCCCCAGGGAGAUUCAAGUGCAUACGCCCACUAUGUAUUCAAUACAUUUGACGUGGAUCACAGUGGAACAAUCACUUUUGAGGAAUUUGUCAUUGGUCUCUCUGUGAUUUCUCGAGGGAGCUUGCGUGAAAAACUAGAAUGGGCAUUUCGACUUUAUGAUAUCAAUGGAGAUGGCAUGAUUACUAAAGAUGAGAUGACAGAUAUUGUUUCUGCAAUUUACGACUUAAUGGGAAAAUAUGCAGAGCCAGUUAUUGAUGAAACUACUCCCAGAGAUCAUGUGGAAACAGUGUUUGAAAAAAUGGAUUUAAACAGGGAUGGACUUAUUACUAUGGACGAAUUUAUGCAAACUUGCGGAAAGGAACGCAGUCUGGCAGAGUCAUUAAUGGUCCUGGACACAUAUAUUUGUUCUGACUCCUACACUUGCAGUGACACAACCAACCAUGGGACAUAGGGCAACCUUUCUACUUUUAUGCAUGUAUUGAGAAUGUCAAACCAAGGAUGACAUGAUAUCACAAUCCAUGGCUGUAUUGGAUACACGAUUAUAACAACCUUGGCCUGCCAUCUAUUUACAAUGACAUUCAGAUUAAACUUUUAAGCACACAAACAUUUUUCACGUUUUAUUGAAAAUACCUACAGUAUCAUUGAUGAAGUAAUAAUGAAAUAUUUUCGCAGAACAUGCAAUAAAAAAUCAUAGGCAUGCAUGAGAAAUCAUAUUGCUCUGUUUUCGUAAACAUCAUCAAGCAUUCUUAACAUAUGCAAGGUAAUAAAAUGGUAAUAAAAAUACAAUUUCUUUAAAAUUAGAGUUGUGCCAUGUCACUAAUGAGCAAAACUCAUAUAUGCCUAUAAUUUUAGUUUCUUGUAAGAAAAUUAUAAUUUACAUGUAAUAUUCUUGUGUACAAUGCUCCAGACAAACAUGAUUUCUUGUUCAUAAGAUAACCCUCUUUUAGACCAAGUUGGUCAGUUAAUUUGUCUUUAUUUACUUUGAGGAUACCAUAAUUUAUAACAAUUUGUAAGGCCAUAUUGCUAUAUUUUAGAAUGCUGGUGUGAUUGAUUAGAAUCUGAAGUUGAACCCAAAGUAUUUGUAAGAAAGAGAAUCCACCAUCUCAGUCACAUUAAAUGAUAUUAUAUUUUGUAAAAAGAAAUAAUAUGCAUACAUAUACUAUUAUUACUAUAGACUGAAUCAUUCACCAUAUGCAUCAGUUUGAAACAGUUGUGGUCAAAGAUUUCUGAUUUCCAAUGGAGAGUUUAUUAUAGUGCCAAAUAGCUACAUAGUUUUUCAAAGGAAGAAUCAGAUGUUCCCGUAAUCUCUCCAAAACAUAGUUUUUCAAAGGAAGAAUGAGAUUACGGGAACAUCUGAUUCUGCCUUUAUAUAUCUGAAAUCAACAUAUUAACGAAUAGCAGACUUGUAAAUAGUGAAAAACAAUUGAGA